rnacentral:misc_RNA from 1 species
UCCGAGUUGACCCCGGCAGUCUCUUACGAGUCCCCGGCAUUACCCGCUGGCAACAUAAGACAAGGGUUGCGCUCGUUGCGGGACUUAACCCAACAUCUCACGACACGAGCUGACGACAGCCAUGCACCACCUGCACACCAGCCACAAGGGAACCGACAUCUCUGCCGGCGUCUAGUGCAUGUCAAGCCCAGGUAAGGUUCUUCGCGUUGCAUCGAAUUAAUCCACAUGCUCCGCCGCUUGUGCGGGCCCCCGUCAAUUUCUUUGAGUUUUAGCCUUGCGGCCGUACUCCCCAGGCGGGGUACUUAAUGCGUUAGCUACGGCACGGAUCCCAAGGAAGGAAACCCACACCUAGUACCCACCGUUUACGGCGUGGACUAC